CAGAAUAACAAUUGAAAUGUAAAUAAGAAAUACCCAAUUUAAUAAAGAUGGAGGAAAAAAUAAAUAAUAAGUAAUAAAGUAAAAAGAGAGGAGCAAAUGAGGUGGGUAGGUGGUGGGUCGAUAAAUACUGCUGUAACCAUACAGAAGUGUUUGGUUUUCUGUAAUUUUAUCAAGUGAAUAGAUUUAAGUAUCGCACACCUCUAUCAAGAUAAAGAACUGAGGUUGGAGUUGAAGUUCAAAGGUAGAACUUGCCUAACAUGUUUGAGCCCAGCACUGCAAAAUAAUAAUGAAUAAAGGAUACUCAUUAUUAACAUUAUGCUAAUUUAACUGUCAUCGCCCUGACAGACAAAGAGUAGCAUGUCAUCUGAGUUCCAAUCCCUAUGACUCCUGAUGAGACUGAAAUCUUCCCAUAUGCUUGUAGCCAUUUGGAUCUCUGCUUUGUUAUAAAGUCAUAUAAAUGACCACGGCUUUUUUCUUCUUUUUCUUGGGACAGUUUCUCUAUGUAGCCCUGGCUGUCCUGGAACUAGCUCGAUAGACCACGCUGGCCUUGAACUCACAGAGAUCUGCCUGACUCUGCCUCCAGGUACUAGGACUAGAAGUGUGUGCCACCACAGCCAAGCCAUGGGUACUGCUUUAUCUAGAAUGUUUGUUCUGUGUUCCUGACACGUAGACUCUAGCAUUUGAGUCACCAGGUGGUGGUUCUAUUUGGGAAAGCCUGUACGUAGCCAUCUUGGAGGAAGUAUGUCUCUGGGAAUGGCUUGAAGACAAAGCAUCUCUGCUUGUGGGUCAGGAUCUAAGAUCACAGCUCUUUGCUCACAGCCCAGCCACCAUUUCUGCUACCUGCUGCUGUGCUGUCCCUGCCAUUACAGGCCCCAAGCCUCUGGAACUGUAAACCCAAAUUAGUUCUUUCCUCUACAAGUUGCCUUGGUCAUGGUGUUUUAUUAUAGUAAUAGAAAAGUACAGGGGUUGGGGAUUUAGCUCAGUGGUAGAGCGAUUGCUUAGGAAGCGCAAGGCCCUGGGUUCGGUCCCCAGCUCCGAAAAAAAGAACCAAAAAAAAAAAAAAGAAAAGUACAGAAGUUGGCACCAGGGAAUAGGCUAUUGCUGUGAAGAAACUGAUAGUUUUGGGGUUUGGGGAGAAAUUUGGAAUUUUGUGCUUGAAAAGUGGUUAAAUGUUAUAAGCAGGGCAUAAUGAACCAUUCUAAGCUUGGAAGACAGUAGUGAUGAGAGGAAACACAUUGCCUGGGGAGAACCAGCCUGAGAGAUUUUAGAACAAUAGUAACAACUGGGCUAAAAUACAAAAUGUGUGGUUCAAAGGUUAAAGGAGCACGAGGAAGCGGAACGGAGCUAAAUCCUGUGUUCAAAGAUAUUAAAUAGAAUUAAGGGAAUGGUGACCUUGGGGCAAGACCCCACUCAGCUAAAUUUAUUGUUUAUGUGUUAGAGGUUGAACAAGGGAUAGUCAUAUCAUGUUAGGUGGUGUUGUGACAUGAUUGUUGUUUUCACUUGGUCAUAAGGAGAUAUGAUUGUGACUUAAAUUGACAAGGGAUGGAUUGGGAUGUUUAUUCUCUUCGGUUGACAAUGUGACAAUAUCUGGAAUGAACGACAAUCCAGUCAUGGAGUAUAGACCUGUGAUCCAGAUCUUGAGGCAUAGUGACCAUGUUUAUAAAAAACUUGUGAAAAGGAAUUAGAGAAAAGCUCAGGUCCAAGCAGGAUGAUACACUUUUAAUCCCAGAAGACAGAGGCCAGCAGAUCUCUGAGUUCAAGGCCAGCCUGGUACAAAGCAAGUUCAAGGACAGCCAAGCUUAGGCAAUGAAGGAGUUGGAAAACAGAAAGCUGGUGAUAAUGUAUUAGAACAAGGGAGCCAUGUUCCAGCCCCAGCAAUAGCAGAACUUGGCUUCAGACACAUGGCUCUGGUUUUAGAGUCAAGAAUAGAAGGGGUCACUGGACAAUUGAUGCUGAAACUAUGAAAUUAGUAGUGAUUAAGAAGAGACAAGCAUAACUGAGGUGAAAUCUUCUGGUAAGUAUUUUCUGAGGGCACAAAGAAGCUGUGUUCCAGAGAUAGACAUUAUGCUAGCAACCAAACUUGGCAAUGUGUAAGAGUCACCCAGGUGAACUGGUUUUGAAGGCAUGAAGGGUUCACGGAGAGCAGUUGAGGCUUGGCACUGUAGAGGUCAGAAAAGACCUUUGGUGAAGGUACAGCCCCAGUGGCAGUUAAAGGCCCAGGACUGAAGGGGUCAUGCAAAGAAGUUGAGGCUUGGCACCAUGAAUAGAGCCUGUGAGAGGCUAUUGGUGAAAGUGUAGCCUAGUUGUAGCAAAGGACCUCAGCAUGCUAAAGAUGCCAGUACCAUGGGAUGAUCACUAAGAACAGCAGCAGUAGUGGAGUGAAGUCAGCCAGAGCCUAGAGUGCUGCAGAAGAGUGACCCAAGCCCUUUGGGGAAGUCCAGGAGAUCAUGUUUGGAUCCCAAGCACUGGGACAAGAAUUUGUAAUGUUGACGUUACCUUGGAGACCCCAAGAUGUAAGAGAUGUCAGAACUAUGUGAUACCUGCUGAGGAAAGCGGCUAACAGGAAGUGGGACCAGCCUGAGAGGAAGAAUUGUGUGGUAGUCAACAAUGCUAGAAGGAGUUGGAGAUCUGACAUGGAGAUGCAGAGUUCGGAGUUUGCCCAGCUGUUUUCUGGUCUCUCUUCAGUCCAGUAUUUCCUCACUAUGACAUUUUGGAAUGGUAAUGUAUACCCUGUGAUGUUGGAAGUGUGUGGUCUGUUUUUUAUUUUUAUUUUAUAUGGAAUUUCAGUUAAGAGAUUGCAUAAGUCUCAGUAAAGACUUUGGACUUUUACACAUUGGUGAAACAGUGAUAGACUAUGGGGACUUUUGAAGUUGGACUAAAUUCAUUUUGCAUUAUGUUAUGGCUACAAACCUAUGGGGGCCAUGGAGUGGAGUGUGGUGGUUUGAAUAGGUUUGGCCCCCAUAGAUUCAUGGGUUUGAAUGCUUGGCCCAUAGGAAGUGGCAUUAUGAGAAGGUAUAGCCUUGUUGGGGUAGAUAUGGCCUUGUUAGAGGAAGUGUGUAACUGUGGAGGUGGGCUUUGAGAUCUCAUGCUCAAGCUACACCCAGUGUGGAAUUGGAGCCUUCUCCUGGCUGCCUGUGGAAGACAGACCCCUUCUGCUGCCUGCAUAUCAAGAUGUAGAACUCUCAGCUCCUCCAGCACUAUGUCUGCCUACAUACUGCCUUGCUCCACGCCACAAUAAUGGAUGAACCUCUGAAGCUGUAAAAUUAAAUGUUUUCCUUUAUAAGAGUUGCUUUGGGGGUUGGGGAUUUAGCUCAGUGGUAGAGCGCUUGCCUAGGAAGCGCAAGGCCCUGGGUUCGGUCCCCAGCUCCGAAAAAAAGAACCAAAAAAAAAAAAAAAAAAAAAAAGAGUUGCUUUGGUCAUGGUAUUUCUUCACAGCAGUGAAACCCUAACUAAGACAGUAGUUAAGAAUGACCUUAAAUUUCUGAUCCUGCCUCUACCUCCUGAGGUGACCUUAUGUGGUAGCAGUGACUGGGAUCAAGCUAAGGCUUUAUACAUGGUAGGCAAGUGCUCUACUAACUGAGCUAUAUUCUCAGUGUGAGUGUGUGUGUGUGUGUGUGUGUGCGUGUGUGUGUUUGUGUAUGUGUGUGCUUGUGUGUGUGCGUGUGAGUGUGUGUGUGUUUGUGUGUGUGUUUGUGUGUGUGUGUUUAUGUGCGUGUGUGUGCGUGUGAGUGUGUGUGUGUUUGUGUGUAUGUGUGUUUGUGUGUGUGUUUGUGUGUGUGUGUGUGUGUGUGUGUGUGUGUGUGUGUGUGCUUAAUUUAGACUAACUAGUGAGGCCUUGAAUUCCCUAACCAGAGUAGCCAAGGCUGGCCUCAAAUUUAAGGACUAGAUUCCAGGCAUGAGCAACCACAGCUACUUCUGUUAAGCUAAAAAAACAAACAAACAACAAUAACAACAGAAAACCCUAGACAAGAUAUGAUGUAGCCCAGGAUGGCCUCAGACUUAUAAUAUGGCCAAGAAUGACCCUGGGCUCCUUGAAUCUCCUGUCUCUAUCUCCUCAGAGAUAGGAUUACAGGUGUGAGCCACUAUGAAAGGCUUCUUUCAAGCAAUUUUGAAGUUGAAUACCUUUAAUUGGCACUUUCUAUCUCCCCAGACCCCACCACUGCCCCCUAGCUGCACCCGUAUGCUGUCAAUUGCCCCUGAGGCAUCUGCCUCUGAGACUGGGAAGGUUGAUGAGUUUUGUAGCGUGGCUGCAGUAUGGUGCCAGCAUCCAGUUCCUCUAAGUGAUGUUUGGGGGUGCCUCCCCCAUCAUUGCCCAUGCUCCCAAUCAUAGAUUGCUUGGUUAAACCCUACCUGGCUUUCAGACGUGAAACUGAAGGGCAAUUCUCCUGUUACCUUUGUCAUCACUGUGGUUCCCCAUUUCCAAGAUACCACCACCCUCCCUCAACUGGAAUUCAGUUCUGCCUGGGAAUGUGCAAUGAACUCUGUGUGGUUUUGAGGGGAAACAUAUCUCUUAUACAAGGUUACAAGGAUCUCAACCCACCUAGGUUGCAGGAUCUGGCUACGAUGGCAAGCAAAGACCAGACCUCAGAAAGGGUGAAGGUGCACCAUCUAGUGGCCCUUGCUGGAGUGGCAGCAGGUAAGUGGACACAUUUUAUACUGGCUUUUCCGUGAUCAUGAACAAAAAUUAAAAUCCAGAGAAUAGUAUAUCCUAGAGACCACGCCAUACCAGAAACAGCAAUAAAAGGAAUAGAACCAAGGUCGGUGGCACAAGCUUGUGAUCUCAGCACUGGGGAGGCAGUUUCAAGACAGCCAAGACUACAUGGAAAGGCCCUGUCUCAAACAAACAAACAAUCAAACACAAAAAAACUCUUCCUAUUUUAUUUUCCUAUUCUUUAAAAACAGAUGUGAUAUAUUUAUCUGUGGGAGGGAGUGUCUUGAGUCCAUUACACAAUGCAUAUAGAAGUCAGAGACCAACUUGCAGGAGUUCAUUCUCCUGCUACUAUGUGAAUCCUGAAGACUGAACUUAGGUCAUCAGACUUGGCAGCAAGUGCCUUUACCCCCCUGAACCAUCUCACUGUCCCAUUUCCUGUCUCCAUUAAUCUAAUAUCUAAUUGUCCAAAGGUAUACUAGCAACAAGAUCAAUAGUAUGACGACGUAUCUGUCAAUUAACAUUGGAUUUUGUAAUACAUUGUAAUUGUAUUCAAUUACAAUGAAUAAGUGAAAUAAAGAAUACCAACAUUUAUAGAAAUGUACAAGUCCCCAUUGAUUCAUGGGCAGGUGAUUACAGCAGUCAAAGACCGAAAUGCCUGAGUCUUGGCUUCCAAAUUUAAAGAUGUUGGAUUUAUAUAGGUGUCUUAGGGUUCCACUGCUGUGAAGAGGCACCAUGACCAAGGCAACUCUUACAAAGGAAAGCAUUUCAUUGGGGCUGGCUUACACUUUCAGAGGUUCCGUCCAUUAUCAUCAUGGGAAGAAGUGCAGCAGCCUGUAGGCAGACAUGGUGCUAGAGAAGGAGCUGGGAGUUCUACAUCUUGAUUCAAAGACAGGAGGAGACUGUAUACCACAAUGGGUGUAGCUUGAGCAAGGAGACCUCAAAGCUCACCCCACCAUGACACACUUCCUCCAGCAAGGCCACAUCUCCUAAUAAUGCCACGCCCUAUGGCCUAUGGGGGGGGCAGUUACAUUCAAACUACCACAGUAGGUAAGAUUUUCUCCUUUGGAAACAGAGGGAAAUGUCUGAGAGUUAGGGGAACAGAGAUCUGAGGAGGAACUAUGUGGCUAGAAAAAUGGAGAAGUGUCCUAGGCUACAGAAAUGUUGAGAACAGAAGGGGCAACCUAGAGAUUCACAUAAGGUUCUCAAAGGAGAGAUUCUUCCUAAUGCAGCUGGAAUAGUCAGAGGAUCCAGGGGGCACCCCAGUACCCUGUAGUUUUCACUCUUCCCCCCUUUGCUCCAGGAAGUGACCACGCUACCAACCCCCUACUGGAUUCCCUUGAAUCUUCAGAUAAAAAACAGACAGUUGUUCCUUUCAACUUGCCUUCUUGGCCCAAUUGCUAAGUGCUACUAUCACCUGUCUGGAAAAUUGUGCCCUUACCAAUUUCUUAUCUCUGUCUCUCCCACCUGCCCUAAACUUCAGUUGCUAAACUCCCCUGACCACCUGUCUAUAGGAGCAGCCUGUGUGGCCACGAUCUUGUCUCUCCAAAGCAUGGAAAACUCUCCUUCCUUGCCUCUCCCUCUUGCCUCCAGGGACCCAGAAGUCCUACCUGUACCUUCCACCCAACAAUUGGCCCAUGGCCUUUACUGACAGACCAAGAACCACCUGGGAAACAGGAUCUUAACAUCAGCACCGCCCCCUACAUUCUCAGUCAGCUAGGGCCAGUAUGGGCCAAGGUCCACCCAGCUUGGUCCUGUAGGGAAGGAGCUACAGGUUAGUCAGGCCAGGGGGAACCAUGACAACAUGUUCAGUUAGGAGCUGGAGACCAGGCUGAUCUUGAACUCACAGAGAUCUGUCUGCCUCUGCCUACUAAGUGCUGGGAUUGAAGAUGUGCACCACUAUACUUGGUCUCUUGAAGCAUCAUCUUUGAUGACAAGAUCGAUCCAAUCAGACACCACCAGAUGGAAAUCUUAACAGUGUGGCAGUGAGGUUGCUUCUACCAUUCAUGCUAUUCCAAGUCCAUCAUUACUGGCUCAUACUAGAGAGGCACCUAAAUUAUCACACUUUUCUUAUUCUGUAUAGAGGCCCGAUUGAGUGAUUAUAUAUUCCUUAGAUUUUUACAGGAAGGAAAAGCAAAGAGAAAUAACAAAUAAACACACCAGGGUAACUGAGAAAAAAUUACUUUUAUUGGGGGCUUCUCGUGACCAGAUUCUUUUUUGGGUUGUUUUGUUUUGUUUUGUUGUUUUUUGUUUUUGUCAGGGUCUCACAUAUCAUAGUCUUGACUCUAACUUGCUAUGUAGCUGAGAUGACCUAGAACUUCUGGCCUUCCCGUCUCCAUUUCCCAAGUACUGUGGUCUGGUUUACCCAGUGCUGGGGACUGAACUCAGGACCUUGUGUGUGUUAGACAAGCACUCUACCAACUUAGCUAGGAAGAGAAAGGUUUGACUUUUUCUCAUCGCUCAGUUACCAACACUGAGAACAGUAGCCAGCGCAUGGUAGGUGCUUAAUAGAUAUUUGCUGACUACAAAAAUGUUUCUACUCAUAUAACUGCAGAAUUAAAUAGCAUUACAUAUAUGAAAACCUGUAUAUGUGUUUAUGUGUAUAUGUGUAUUAUACUGUAUAGUGUAUGCUUACAUACGUAUACAGGUGUCCUGCUCUAUUAUUCUCUGUUCUGUCCGUCUGCUAGCUAGAUUUUUGUCAACUUGACAGUCUCAAGUCAUCAGGGAAGUCAACCUCACACACACACACACACACACACACACACACACACACACACACACAAAUACAAGAUAUUACAUAUCCUUCCCGACCCCAAAACAAAACACAAAGAAAUGAAAUAAAUAUAGGCUGAGGAGGGCAGAUACCUGGUGAAUGAAAGCCAGGAUCUCACAGCUCUUCAGGGCCCAACCCAAGAAAGCUCUUCUCAUUUCCUUCCCUGCCUGGCCCAGGAGAUACAUUCCUACCCUCUCUUGAGGUUUCCAAAGGAAAUGAGGGAGAUGCCUCUGACUCACUUCCUUGUAGGAAGACGGGAUCACCUGCUGUGUCCCUUUCAUCUUGGGUACUCUACAACAUUUGGCUAAAUCUAUAAUAUGAAUGAUAAAAAGAAAAGAGCUUGGACGUGAUAAGAGGCAGAAGACAAAUAUUUUAUGGAGACAGAAUUAAUCCAGAUUUUGAUACUGCCAGAAACUGGGCUCCUUGAACUUCUGUGACCUUGAGCUUCAAGGACAGGUUUUAGAAGGAACCGGAAUCCCAAAAUUGGUAGUGUCCUGCCUUUGUGGCAGCCAGCCGUUAGACUCUGGUUUCAGUUUUAAACACUUUAAACACGUGGCUUUAGAGGGGACUUUCCCCCUGGAACAGGAAAUGAUGAUGACAGGCAGAGCCUUGACCGGGGACCAAAUUUGUCAGAAAACACCUACAUCUGGUAAGCUAUAGUGGCCAAGUGGAUGGAGUAGCCACAGAGCUGCCAGUAGCUAGCCAGCCAGCCCUAAGCAGGUGACCCAGAAGUCUGAGAUCCAGGACCUUUUCAGAGGCAAGCCCUGAAGCUGCGAAACCUCAAAGCCACUCUUCUUUUGUGAGGAGAAGGUGAAGAGAAACGAAAGCUAACACUAUGAGGUAAGAAGCCGAGGUAAGCCACCAAUGAACAGACACCAAACCACAAGGAUGAAGCCAUGAGGUUCACAUGGCGCUGCCCUAGAGACCAGACCAGAGCGGAGAUCCCAAACCAGUGUGGUGUUCAGCUAUUUUCUCAGUGGUGAAAAAGUAAGCUGCUCCCAUAAUGUCAGCACUUUGAAGGAAGAGACAGCAGGAUCAGGAAUUCAAGGUCGUCCUUGGCUAUACAGUAAAUUACAGGCUAACCUGAGAGAGGGAGGAAGAGAGGGAGGGGAGGGGGAAAGGGGGAGAGGGGGAGAGGGAGUGGGGGAGAGAGAGGGAGGGAGAGAGGGAGUGGGGAGGGAGGGAAGGAGGGAGAGAGGGAGGGGGAGGGAGAGAGGGAGAGAAGGAGGGGGAGGGGGAGGGGGAGGGAGAGAGGGAGAGGGGGAAGGAGGAAGAGGAGGGAGUUUUGGGGUCUGGCAUACCUUCCCCACAAAUAACCAAAAUCUAGAGAGAGUAGAGAAUGAAUCUGGUACCAGAGAAUGUGAUAGGGAUUGAACCCACGGCCCCAUACCAAUCCACUAUGUUCUCUAUACAUACACUGUAUGUGCAUGAGAAAAAAUUUCCUCUUUUUCCUAUAGUAUAAUAUGACACAGCUGCCUCAUGCUUUUCCUCUACCAGCACUGCCUUACAGGGUGUUCCAGAUUAGUUCAAGAGUUUCCUCCCCAUUUCUACCCAGCAUUCCAUCAAAUGGCCACACCUUCGUCACUGUGUAGAGCACUGGGCUUCCUUCUGAUCUCAGAAGUUACCAACAUUGCUGCAGUAAUAAACUCUGGAAAAUUUGACUUUUCACAAGAGAAGUGUAGUCCCUAGGGAGAAGAAUGAAAAAGAAAUAAAAGGAAAUGGUGACAUAUCUUUGUCGGUUGCUGACAAAUCGUCCUCCCGAUGGUCCGUGCUGACUCUGCUGCCCCACUUGUAGCGCCCCAGCUGCAAAUGGACCCAUCCUGACCUGGAAAACUGUGUUUCAGAGACUCCAUUCAGUAAGCUGUUCCCAUAAUGCCAGCAGAUGAGUUGGCUAUGUAAGCGGGCACAGUUCUGGUGCAAGAGGAGCUCCCUCCAGCCAAAGCUCCCUUGCUAUUGGAUGCUGUCCAAUUCCCACGACCAUUUGUCUAGGGAUUCUGCCCAUACAAGAGCUACUCCUGGAUCCCACUCACCUUUGCACGUCUAGCAUCAGACACACCACGUACUCAAUAAAGGCUUAUUGUGGGGAGUUCUGAUUAGAUUCUUAGGCCAGCCUAGCUCAGUGGUUGGGUUCCAGGUACCAGAGAGUAUCCCUGUCUCAAAAACUUUAGAUUGCUCCUGAGGAAGUUGAUUUCUGUGUUCCAUAUACAUAUGUAUAAAUACACAUAUGUGCACAUACAUUCUACAUAGAUGAAUGUAUGAAUACACACAAAUAAAAAUAGAUUACUCAAGGUCUUCUCAUGGUGGCACAACUUUAACCCUAGUACUCAGGAAACAGAGGCAGGCAAAGUUUGAGGUCAGCCUGAUCUGUAUAGAGAAUUGCAGGCCAGCCAGAACUACAUAUGAGACCCCAUCUCAAAAAUAAAUAAACAAGCAAACAAAGAAUAUAAAUAAAAGUUUGAGGCCGGUAGGAUGUCACAGUAAAUAAUCAUACUUUCCCAAAUAAAAGUUAUAUUAGAUGAGAGAAAAAAUUCAAAGUAUGCUUUUAUGGACCUAGCAGCUGGGAGGAGGCAGAGAUAGGAGGCUCCAUGUUGCUCACUGGCUGGCCAGUCCAACCGAAAUGGUGAGCUCUAUCUCUAAUGAGAGAACCCGUCUCAAAAAGUAAUGUGGAGAGCCAUUGAGGAAGAUACCUAAGAUUGACUUCUGGCCUCCACACAUAUAUACAUAGACCACCCCACACACACACACACACACAUGUGCACACACACAAUAACAGUAAUAGUAAUAAAUAAUACAUUAAAAUUAUUAAAAAAUUGGGUUUUUUCUGCCAGAAUGACGAUUCUGAGACUAUUACUAAAUGCCUAAGCCAUAAUUAGCUUUGGCUGACUAACUAGCUUGUAACUUAUCUAACCCAUUCAAACUACUCUAUGUCUACCACUCGGUAGUUACCUCUUCCUCAGCCCCAGCCUGCUUCUUCUUUCACAUCUCCUCAGUGCCUCCCUCAGCAUCUUUCCCAAAUCUCACUUGAAUCUCUCUCCAAGUCUCUCCCUGCAUCUCCUUUUAUUCUCUCACUUUCUCCCAGAAUCCUCUUCUCCUAUCACUGUCCCACCUCCUAUUUCCUGCCUCAGUUCAUUGGCCACCAGCUUUUUUAUUCAUAGGUGAUGCUUAUAAAAGAUUCUCUCUACAUAAAAUUUUAAAAUAAAGCUUGAACUUUACAAAAGAAGGGGGGGUGCUGGAGAGAUGGCUCAGAGGUUAAGAGCACUGACUGCUCUCCCAGAGGUCCUGAGUUCAAUUCCCAGCAACCACAUGGUGGCUCACAGCCAUCUGUAAUGGGAUCAGAUGCCCUCUUCUGGUGUGUCUGAAGACAGCUACAGUGUACUUAUAUAUAAUAAAUAAAUAAACCUUAAAAAAAAAAAAAGAAGGAAGGAAGGAGGGAGGGAGGGAGGGAAGGGGAAGGGAAGCAGCUAGGUGUCUUGGUUCCACCGUAGAAGACCUCAGACUAGAAUAAUCUGCCACUACCCCUAGACAUGGCAACUGCAUCACUUUGGCCUUUUUUUUUUCUUCUACCCCAAGUUUCCCAAGAAAGAGCACUUAUUAACUAUCUAAAACAAAACAGGCCUGUACUUUGAAGGCUUUCAAAGCAUCUUGACUCAGUCACAGGCAUCAAUGGCUCCUUGUGCCCAUGCUGACCUUAACCCCAAGAUACAGCUCCUGUCUCAAUCCUGAAAGAAGGCUCAGUAGGGCUAUAUUGUCAGGUAGCAUAAAAGUGUUUCCCCUGGGGGCUUCAGUGUGCCAGGCACUAUGCCUGUAAUGGCUGAUUCCAGAGACCUGACAUACUCACACACCCCUACUCACUGUCCUAUGCCUGUGACUUGUCUCUCAGCUCUACCUUGAAGCCAUCCUUCUUCCUCCUGGACCUUCUGCAGGUCUCUGAGCUCAGAGAUCAUUUGGGAAAACAACCAAUUUGGUCUUGAUCCAUUGGAGUGACUGUGAGGAAGGCAUUGCAGGUAACAGACUUUCUCUUUUGGGGCUUGAUUUACCCAUGAAAGAACCAGGAAGAGCUUUAUUGCCAAAUAGAAUAAAUCCCAGAGAACAGGAAGUAAGAGUGGGUCACCAGAGAGUGACACGAGGUCAGCACAGGGUAGACAGGCUGUUACAAGGUAGGGAGGGGAGUUUUAGAGGAAGUGUAAAGAAGCCCAAAGCACCAGAAAAAAUAUACUUAGGCCUGAGCAGCUCCUGAAAGAAAGACUUAAAAGAGAGAGAAAGUGGGGGAAAGGAAAAGUUAUACCUUUCUGAGUUAGGGCUCAGGAAGAAAGAGAGACCCAGCUCCAACCUUAAGGCAGUUCAUAGGGACUGGUGUGUACUGUUGUUUUAAAGUUACAUUUAUGUAUGCAUAGUGGUGCGUUCCUUUAAUCCCAGAACCCAAGAGGCAGAUUUGUGAAUUCAAGGCCAACCACGGCUACACAGUUUCAAAAUUAAUUAAUUAAUAAAAAAUACAUGUAUCGGGCUGUUUGCUGUGUGUAUGUGUGCACAAGCUUGCCACAGCACAAAUGUGGCAGCCAGAGGCCAGCUUUCAAGAGUCAGUUCCUCCCUUUCACCAUGUAGGAGCCAGAGUUUGAGCUCAAGUCCUCAAGCUACGCAGGAUGCGCCUUCACUCACUGAGCUGUCUGGACAUAGGUAGGAAAGAAAGCCCUAGACACAUGGGUAAACUUCAGGCACUCUGAGAGUCAGGUGCAGCAAGAAGCCUUGUACACUGCACAGAUGAAGCAAAUACAUCAAUGUGUGGAAGAGAGAGGCUGUCUUAGUUAGGGAUUUACUGCUAUGAACAGACACCAUGACCAAGGCAAGUCUUAUAAAGGACAGCAUUUAAUCGGUGCUGGCUUACAGUUCCAGAGGUUCAGUCCAUUAUCAUCAAGGCAGAAGUAUGGCAGCAUCCAGGCAGGUAUGGCGCAGGAAGAGCUGAGAGUUCUACAUCUUCAUCUGACGGCUGCUAGCAGAACACUGGCUUCCAAGCAGCUAGUGCUAGGAUAUUAAAACCCACACCCACAGUGACAGACGUACUCCAACAAAGCCACACCUACUCCAACAGGGCCACUCCCUGGGUUGAGAAUAUACAGACUAUUCUCACAGAGGCAAUGGGCAGGAAAAGCCAGGCCCUGGGAGUGUCUGGGAAUUAUCAGCCUAGUUUGGUGUGGAUCUGGGAGUCCCACUGGCCUUGUCUCCAUGAGUAGUAAUGAGUAGCUGCUGGCCUCUUGGUCACACAUACUAGCUAACUGAAAUAGUUAUUAGAUAUUGUCUCUAGAGGAACAGAACUUAUAAAAUGAAUAUUAUAUACAUAUAUAUUAUAUACACAUAUAUACAUAUAUAUUAUAUACACACACACAUCCAUUAUAUAUAGUAUAGGUAUACAUUCAAUAAAUGUAUAUAUAAAUAAUAUAUAAAUGUGCAUAUACAAAUGUAUAUACAUAUGAAGUAUAGUCAUAUAAAAUGAAUUUUAUAUAUGUCUGAUUUUAUUAGAAUGGCUUACAUGCUGUGAUCCAACUAGUCCAACAAUGACUGUCUACCAAGGGAAGGUCCAAGAAUCUAGUAGUUGUUCAAUCCAUAAGGCUCAAUGUCUCAGCUGGUCUUCAGUGUACACUGGAAUCCUGAAGAAGUAGACUCCAAUGCCAGUGAAGGAAUGGACUUGAUAGCAAGGUGAGAGCAAGCAGGCAAAGAGAAAGCAAGUUUCCUUCUUCCAUGUCUCGUACAGAGGCAACAGCUAUAAGGUGUGGUUCAGGUUAAAGGUGGACCUUCCCACCUCAAAAAAUGUGGAUUAAAAUUGUAUUUUCUCAUCUCAAAGAUCCAGAUUAAAAGUAGGCCUUCCCAUAUCAAAUUAUUUGAUUAAGGGAAAAUUCCUCACUGGUGUGGUGGUGCACAUCUUUUAUCUCAGCAUUCAGGAGAAAAAAAGUAGGCAGAUCUCUCUGAGUUUAAGGCCAACCUGGUCUAUAAUAUGAGUAUAGAAAAUCCAAGGUUCUGUUAUACAGAGAAACCCUGUAUCAAUAAAACAAAAAGAAAGAAAGGAAGGAAGGAAGGAAGGAAGGAAGGAAGAAGAGAAGAGAAAAGAAAAGGAAAGGAAAGAAAAGAGAAGAAAAAAAUUCCUCACAGAUGAGCACAGCUCUUGCCACCAAGCUCUUCUAACCCCAAAUAUCUCUCCCCUCCCUGUUCUUCUUCUUUCUUUUUUUUUUAAGAUUUACUUAUUUAUUUAUUUAUUAUACACACUGUAGCUGUCUUCAGACACACCAGAAGAGGGCAUCAGAUCCCAUUACAGAUGGUUGUGAGCCACCAUGUGGUUGCUGGGACUUGAACUCAGGACCUCUGGAAGAGCAGUCAGUGCUCUUUACCUCUGAGUUAUCUCUCCAGCCCCUCAGUUUUUUUAUCACCCAUUCUAUAACAGUGAUUUGCUAACUACCCUCUCCCUGGCAGGCUUUGUGCCAGGCAUUUGUGACUAUUUACAUUUGGAAUGUGUCCCCUGAUGUACUGCUUUAAAAUUUUAAAAUAAAUAAAUAAAUAAUAAAUAAAUAAAUUUUAAAA